UGCCUCUCCCGUGGGUGCUCUGCCGACCGGUAGAGGUCUCUUCGGACCAAAUCUGCUGACAACGCAUUGCGUUCAGGAGUUUUAUGCGUUUCCAAUCCUUGCUAUACAGCCUUUGUGGAGGAGUACCUAGGAAAGGAGGUGGAUCGAUUGCUGUAACUGCCCCUACGCAUCCGUCCUUUUGAGUAUGCAGAAGAUAUUGAAAGCGGUUUUCGGAUGUUGAAACAAAGUACAAGCGAAUGUAUGAGAUGACAUAAAUCAUUUUGUUGCUUUCUCGAGCAAGCUAAAUAUAUUUGACAUAUCAUCAACAAUACAGGUUGUCUAUUUUAUAUUGUAUACUUAGUUUAAGUUA